GAAGGGGGGCUAGCGUUGCUCGGAAUCACUGGGCGUAAAGGGCGCGUAGGCGGCCGAUUAAGUCGGGGGGGGGGGUGAAAGCCUGUGGGCUCAACCACAGAAUUGCCUUCGAUACUGGUUGGCUUGAGACCGGAAGAGGACAGCGGAACUGCGAGUGUAGAGGUGAAAUUCGUAGAUAUUCGCAAGAACACCAGUGGCGAAGGCGGCUGUCUGGUCCGGUUCUGACGCUGAGGCGCGAAAGCGUGGGGAGCAAACAGGAUUAGAUACCCCUGGUAGUCCACGCCGUAAACGAUGAAUGCCAGCCGUUGGCCUGCUUGCAGGUCAGUGGCGCCGCUAACGCAUUAAGCAUUCCGCCUGGGGAGUACGGUCGCAAGAUUAA
rnacentral:rRNA from 1 species